rnacentral:tRNA from 1 species
GGAGGUGUACAGGUGCCUGGUGGCCCUCUCGGUCUUCAAAACCGAAGUAGCCGAGUAUCUCGGCUAGGCGGGUUCGAUUCCCGUCCACCUCCG